GGUUAAGCGACUAAGCGUACACGGUGGAUGCCCUGGCAGUCAGAGGCGAUGAAGGACGUGCUAAUCUGCGAUAAGCGUCGGUAAGGUGAUAUGAACCGUUAUAACCGGCGAUUUCCGAAUGGGGAAACCCAGUGUGAUUCGUCACACUAUCAUUAACUGAAUCCAUAGGUUAAUGAGGCGAACCGGGGGAACUGAAACAUCUAAGUACCCCGAGGAAAAGAAAUCAACCGAGAUUCCCCCAGUAGCGGCGAGCGAACGGGGAGCAGCCCAGAGCCUGAAUCAGUGUGUGUGUUAGUGGAAGCGUCUGGAAAGGCGCGCGAUACAGGGUGACAGCCCCGUACACAAAAAUGCACAUGCUGUGAGCUCGAUGAGUAGGGCGGGACACGUGGUAUCCUGUCUGAAUAUGGGGGGACCAUCCUCCAAGGCUAAAUACUCCUGACUGACCGAUAGUGAACCAGUACCGUGAGGGAAAGGCGAAAAGAACCCCGGCGAGGGGAGUGAAAAAGAACCUGAAACCGUGUACGUACAAGCAGUGGGAGCACAGAGCAAUCUGUGUGACUGCGUACCUUUUGUAUAAUGGGUCAGCGACUUAUAUUCUGUAGCAAGGUUAACCGAAUAGGGGAGCCGAAGGGAAACCGAGUCUUAACUGGGCGUUAAGUUGCAGGGUAUAGACCCGAAACCCGGUGAUCUAGCCAUGGGCAGGUUGAAGGUUGGGUAACACUAACUGGAGGACCGAACCGACUAAUGUUGAAAAAUUAGCGGAUGACUUGUGGCUGGGGGUGAAAGGCCAAUCAAACCGGGAGAUAGCUGGUUCUCCCCGAAAGCUAUUUAGGUAGCGCCUCGUGAAUUCAUCUCCGGGGGUAGAGCACUGUUUCGGCAAGGGGGUCAUCCCGA
rnacentral:rRNA from 1 species